AGACACAAAUUGAACCAAACUCAGAAAAAAAGCUUCUGCUGAUAACGAAACAACAUAUUACUUCCUGUAAAUGCUAUUUUACACUAAAACACAAGAGAAAUAUGUGCAGCUCAGCUCUAAACUUUCAGGUUAGGGAAUAAAAGAUGACGGAACAGAUCCAAACAUUCAAUGUUGCAGAAAUAAACUCAGGUUUUCUGUGUUUUUUAUGAAAACAAAGAGCAGACAGACCACUUUGUGGAGAUACAUCAACAUCUUCGAUGCACCCUAUUUUUGUUACCAUCUGCUCGUAGUCCUGUUCUCUUCCGAUCAAAGGAAGAGAACAGGACUACGACCAGAAAAACA